CCGGCGCACGGGUGAGUAACACGUAUCCAACCUGCCGUCUACUCUUGGACAGCCUUCUGAAAGGAAGAUUAAUACAAGAUGGCAUCAUGAGUCCGCAUGUUCACAUGAUUAAAGGUGUUCCGGUAGACGAUGGGGAUGCGUUCCAUUAGAUAGUAGGCGGGGUAACGGCCCACCUAGUCUUCGAUGGAUAGGGGUUCUGAGAGGAAGGUCCCCCACAUUGGAACUGAGACACGGUCCAA
rnacentral:rRNA from 1 species